rnacentral:rRNA from 1 species
CCGGUCCCAUACCGAACCCGGUAGUUAAGCCUUCCAGCGCUGAUGGUACUGCACGAGGGAUCGUGUGGGAGAGUAGGACGCCGCCGGAA